GUCUACGGCCAUGCUACCCUGAAUAAGCCCGAUCCCUUCUGAUCUUGGAAGCUAAGCAGGGUCCGGCCUGCUUAGUACUUGGAUGGGAGACCACCUAGGAAGACCAGGUGCUGUAGGUG
rnacentral:rRNA from 1 species